rnacentral:rRNA from 1 species
GACGAACGCUGGCGGCGUGCUUAACACAUGCAAGUCGAACGGAAAGGCCCUGCUUUUGUGGGGUGCUCGAGGGGCGAACGGGUGAGUAACACGUGAGUAACCUGCCCUUGACCUGGGGAUAACUUCAGGAAACUGGGGCUAAUACCGGAUAGGAGCGCCUGCUGCAUGGUGGGGGUUGGAAAGUUUCGGCGGUUGGGGAUGGACUCGCGGCUUAUCAGCUUGUUGGUGGGGUAGUGGCUUACCAAGGCUUUGACGGGUAGCCGGCCUGGGAGGGUGACCGGCCACCUUGGGACUGAGAUACGGCCCAGACUCCUACGGGAGGCAGCAGUGGGGAAUAUUGCCCAAUGGGCGGAAGCCUGAUGCAGCAACGCCGCGUGCGGGAUGACGGCCUUCGGGUUGUAAACCGCUUUCGCCUGUGACGAAGCGUGAGUGACGGUAAUGGGUAAAGAAGCACCGGCUAACUACGUG